GGAAAUGUAGCACAGUUGGUAAAGUGCAUGCCUAGAAAGCAUGAACCCCUGGGUUUGAAACCCAGCACCA
rfam:Mesocricetus auratus contig099933, whole genome shotgun sequence.